rnacentral:rRNA from 1 species
GAUGAACGCUGGCGGCGUGCCUAAUACAUGCAAGUCGAGCGAACGGACGAGAAGCUUGCUUCUCUGAUGUUAGCGGCGGAGGGGUGAGUAACGCGUGUAUACCCUACCUAUAAGACUGGGAUAACUUCGGGAAACCGGAGCUAAUACCGGAUAAUAUUUUGAACCGCAUGGGUCAAAAGUGAAAGACGGUCUUGCUGGCACUUAUAGAUGGAUCCGCGCUGCAUUAGCUAGUUGGUAAGGUAACGGCUUAUCAAGGCAACGAUGCAUAGCCGACGUGAGAGGGUGAUCGGCCACACUGGAACGGAGCCGCGGUCCAGACUCCUGAGGGAGGCAGCAGUAGGCAAUGGUCCGCAGUGGGGGAGAGCCUGACGGAACGACGGCGCGUGAGUUAUGAAGGUCUUCGGAUCGUAAUACUGUGUUAUGAGGUAAGAACAUAUGUGUAAGUAACUGUGCACAUCUUGACGGUAACUGGUAAGAAAGCCACGGCUAACUACGUG